CUUCGGUGUUGCAGGUCAAGUUGAGACGAAGCUGCACGGCGACGAUCUUGGGAAGCCGGAGCCCCCUCCUCCCACGUCUUCUGCCUUGUGCUGUCAGCCCUCCUGAGUCGAUACAAACCGUAGCCUGGGGCCCGGCCUGGACUCCCCACUGAGGUUCUGGCCCACCGCUGGGAGAUCAAAGACCCGCCGAGAACAAUGCCGUUUCAUGCUGGUUUUAUCUUCCUGUGGUUCUCGUCGUGCUUCCUGUGGAAAACGGAGCCCGUCUGCAGCGUGUACACAGCUGGUUGGAAGACAAGACCUCCAGAUUGUGCUGAGAGUCUUGAUCCCUGUGGUUACCCUGGAUGAGGAAAACUCCCUCCCUCCCACUCCCUCUCAUUGUCCCCUCCUGACAGUGACGGUAAUGUGUGAGUAGCUUUGUACGGAUCAAGAGGAUUUGUUUCUGCUGGCAGCUUGCCCGUCACCUGAAAGAGAAAAGCCAACUAAAGGAAAAGGGACUUCUGGGUUGUGUUGUGGCCUAGUCGACCACAACUGAUGCCAAAUGUCAAAUCUGCUACUUGAGUUGGGUCAAAGUCAAUUAGAGAAAUGUCACAUGCAUAGCUCUGACAGGUGUUUCAGAAACUUAGCUUUUUUUAUAAUCUUGCUGUAAACUGUUGGUGAAUGUUUCUGCCUGUCACAGAGCUCUGUAGAUUUACUGUAUGAUGGCUUAUGGAGCUACCAUUGUGCAAUAAGUAAAUCAUUCUGUUGACAUCUGCAUUCGGCUUCUUUAUGAAUACGUGCCUUGUACGAUACACAUACAAUGGAAACAUAUCAUCCUCUGUAUUAAAGCUUCAGUAGGCAGAAUGAU